UUUCGGUUCUAUGAACUCUAUAAUUUGUUUGACAACAAUUGUUUCAUUCUUUUCAUAUAGGAACCUCGGAUCAUUUGAACUGUUCUUAUCUGAUUAACAUGUCUCUUGGUAUGUCUACGUAGAAAACAACCGAAGUUGUCUAAGAGUGUUGGUACAAAAGAAAAUGUUCUCCUCCAUCCUAAAUUUGACUAUAUUGCUAAACAAGAUCAAG
rnacentral:misc_RNA from 1 species